rnacentral:misc_RNA from 1 species
CCUUGGCUCUCAAAUCAUGAAGAAAAAGAAGAACAAGAAGAUAAACAAAUUGAGACUAAAACUCAUAGCUUUUGGAUUCAAACCGUAAUGAAGGAAAAUAGCUUUUGGGACUCAAACCCAUAUCUUUGUGAAGAGACAAUAAGAAAGAAGAAACCCUAGAAUUUUCUGCUGGCUCUGAUACCAUGUUAAAGUUAGAACAAUAGAAGACAAAGGAGAAAAUAACAAGAGAUUUAUGUGGUUCGGCUAUUGAGAGCCUAUGUCCACAAACACAAAACCUCAAAGAGUUGCAUUUUAUUCAUUUUUGUUGUGUUUUACAUAAUACAUUGAACUCCAUAUUUAUAAUGGAAG